CCUACGGGGGGCAGCAGUGAGGAAUAUUGGUCAAUGGACGAGAGUCUGAACCAGCCAAGUAGCGUGAAGGAUGACUGCCCUAUGGGUUGUAAACUUCUUUUAUAUGGGAAUAAAAUGUUCCACGUGUGGGAUUUUGUAUGUACCAUAUGAAUAAGGAUCGGCUAACUCUGUGCCAGCAGCCGCGGUAAUACGGAGGAUCCGAGCGUUAUCCGGAUUUAUUGGGUUUAAAGGGAGCGUAGGUGGAUUGUUAAGUCAGUUGUGAAAGUUUGCGGCUCAACCGUAAAAUUGCAGUUGAAACUGGCAGUCUUGAGUACAGUAGAGGUGGGCGGAAUUCGUGGUGUAGCGGUGAAAUGCUUAGAGAUCACGAAGAACUCCGAUUGCGAAGGCAGUUCACUGGACUGCAACUGACACUGAGGCUCGAAAGUGUGGGUAUCAAACAGGAUUAGAUACCCGUGUAGUC
rnacentral:rRNA from 1 species